AUUGAACGCUGGCGGCAGGCUUAACACAUGCAAGUCGAACGAGUGGCGGACGGGUGAGUAAUGCUUGGGAAUCUAGCUUAUGGAGGGGGAUAUCUACGGGAAACUGUAGCUAUUACCGCGUACCAUAGGAUGAGCCCAAGUGGGAUUAGGUAGCUGGUGAGGUAAAGGCUCACAAAGCCGACGAUCUCUAGCUGGGCUGAGAGGAUGACCAGCCGCACUGGGACUGAGACACGGCCCAGACUCCUACGGGAGGCGGCAGUGGGGAAUAUUGCGCCAUGGGGGCAGCCUGACGCAGCCAGGCCGCGUGAAUGAAGAAGGCAUUCGGGGUGUAAAGUUCUUUCGGUAGCGAGGCGUUAACUACAGAAGAAGCACCGGCUAACUCCGUGCCAGCAGCCGCGGUAAUAC
rnacentral:rRNA from 1 species